rnacentral:rRNA from 1 species
UGGUCUGCAACUCGACCACACGAAGCUGGAAUCGCUAGUAAUCGCGAAUCAGCAUGUCGCGGUGAAUACGUUCCCGGGCCUUGUACACACCGCCCGUCAAACCAUGAGAGUUGGCAACACCCGAAGUCGGUAGUCUAACCGCAAGGAGGACGCCGCCGAAGGUGGGGUUGAUGAUUAGGGUUAAGUCGUAACAAGGUACC